rnacentral:rRNA from 1 species
AACGAACGCUGGCGGCAUGCCUAACACAUGCAAGUCGAACGAGACCUUCGGGUCUAGUGGCGCACGGGUGCGUAACGCGUGGGAACCUGCCCUUAGGUUCGGAAUAACUCCCCGAAAGGGGUGCUAAUACCGGAUAAUGUCUUCGGACCAAAGAUUUAUCGCCUUUGGAUGGGCCCGCGUUGGAUUAGCUAGUUGGUAGGGUAAAAGCCUACUAAGGCGACGAUCCAUAGCUGGUCUGAGAGGAUGAUCAGCCACACUGGGACUGAGACACGGCCCAGACUCCUACGGGAGGCAGCAGUGGGGAAUAUUGGACAAUGGGCGAAAUCCUGAUCCAGCAAUGCCGCGUGAGUGAUGAAGGCCUUAGGGUUGUAAAGCUCUUUUACCCGGGAUGAUAAUGACAGUACCGGGAGAAUAAGCUCCGGCUAACUCCGUG